AUUGAACGCUGGCGGCAGGCCUAACACAUGCAAGUCGAGCGGAGCGGCGGACGGGUGAGUAAUGCCUAGGAAUCUGCCUGGUAGUGGGGGAUAACGUCCGGAAACGGGCGCUAAUACCGCAUACUAUCAGAUGAGCCUAGGUCGGUUUAGCUAGUUGGUGGGGUAAAGGCCUACCAAGGCGACGAUCCGUAACUGGUCCGAGCGGAUGAUCAGUCACGCUGGAACUGAGACACAGUCCAGACUCCUACGGGAAGCAGCAAUGGGGAAUCUUCCGCAAUGGACGAAAGUCUGGCGGAGCCACGCCGCGUUAGUGAUGACGGCCUUCGGGUUGUAAAGCUCUGUUAAUCGGGAGGCGGUACCGGAAUAGAAAGCAGCGGCUAACUACGUGCCAGCCGCCGCGGUAAUAC
rnacentral:rRNA from 1 species